rnacentral:rRNA from 1 species
UCCGGAGGUUGCGAUCGUUGUUCGGAUUUACUGGGCGUAAAGGGAGCGCAGGCGGUUUGCUAAGUCGAAAGUGAAAAUCCGGGGCUUAACCUCGGACCCGCUUUCGAUACUGACAGACUCGAGUACGCGAGAGGAAAGUGGAAUUCCAGGUGUAGCGGUGAAAUGCGUAGAUAUCUGGAGGAACACCAGUGGCGAAAGCGACUUUCUGGCGCGUUACUGACGCUGAGGCUCGAAAGCGUGGGGAGCGAACGGG